UCCUGGUUUCCCAGGCAGUCCCAUCAGAGUGCUCCAAAAAUGGAUAGCAACUGACAGCAAGGGUUGCGCUCGUUAUAGGACUUAACCCAACAUCUCACGACACGAGCUGACGACAGCCAUGCAGCACCUGUGCAAAUGUCCAGAGUAAACCCUGGAAGGCUGUAUUUCUACAGCUGUCAUAAGCAUGUCAAACCUAGGUAAGGUUCCUCGCGUAGUGUCGAAUUAAACCACAUGUUCCACCGCUUGUGCGGACCCCCGUCAAUUCCUUUGAGUUUUAAUCUUGCGACCGUACUCCCCAGGCGGAUCACUUAUCGCGUUAGCUACGACACUAAUCUCGCAAAGCAAGACUAACGUCUAGUGAUCAUCGUUUACAGCGUGGACUAC
rnacentral:misc_RNA from 1 species